UACGUAGGGGGCUAGCGUUGUCCGGAAUCAUUGGGCGUAAAGCGCGCGUAGGCGGCCAGAUAAGUCCGGUGUGAAAGUCAAAGGCUCAACCUUUGAAUGCCGCUGGAAACUGCCUGGCUUGAGUCCGGAAGGGGCGAGUGGAAUUCCUGGUGUAGCGGUGAAAUGCGCAGAUAUCAGGAGGAACACCAAUGGCGAAGGCAGCUCGCUGGAACGGUACUGACGCUGAGGAGCGAAAGCAUGGGGAGCGAACAGG
rnacentral:rRNA from 1 species